rnacentral:rRNA from 1 species
UACGUAGGGUGCAAGCGUUAAUCGGAAUUACUGGGCGUAAAGCGUGCGCAGGCGGUUAUGCAAGACAGAUGUGAAAUCCCCGGGCUCAACCUGGGAACUGCAUUUGUGACUGCAUAGCUAGAGUGCGGCAGAGGGAGAUGGAAUUCCGCGUGUAGCAGUGAAAUGCGUAGAUAUGCGGAGGAACACCGAUGGCGAAGGCAAUCUCCUGGGCCUGCACUGACGCUCAUGCACGAAAGCGUGGGGGAGCAAACAGG